rnacentral:rRNA from 1 species
UACAGAGGUCUCAAGCGUUGUUCGGAAUUACUGGGCGUAAAGGGUGCGUAGGCUGCGCAGAAAGUCAGAUGUGAAAUCCGGGGGCUCAACCUCCGAAUUGCAUCCGAUACUCCUGUGCUAGAGGACUGGAGAGGAGCUUGGAAUUCUCGGUGUAGCAGUGAAAUGCGUAGAGAUCGAGAGGAACACCAGAGGCGAAGGCGGCGACCUGGACAAGCACUGACACUCAACUACGAAAGCGUGGGGAGCAAACAGG